GCUUGCUUAUUGGGGAAAUGUCUUCCCAGCUACUUACUGCCGUUUUAUAACACUGCAGCAUAUGGGAUCAAAGACUAGAACUGCCACCUCCUGUUUACAAUGGGCUGGAGCAGCCACAGAAGUGUCAGGGCUGCUUUCUGUCUCAGUGUGGUUGGGAAUAAGACUGACAAGCUUUGAGACAGGACUUUUGUUGGGUGUAUGCACCAAAGAGAGAAGAAGAACAGAGAGACGACAGACUGCAGUUUUCUCACUAGUCUCAAAUACAAACUUUAAGAUUGCAUUCACUGGCUGUACCUGCUAACUCAGGUACCUUAGCAUAAAGAUUUGCAGGCACGUGUAAGGAUGGCUUUUGAAAAGAGGGAAAAAAACACAGGCACUCAUCAUCUACUAAUAACACCGACUGAAGUGAGAGACAUGCACCUUUCUUCUCUGCCCUUGCUGUAUAUACAUUAAACAAAGAAUGUCAUUCCCUUUCCUCUGUGUACCUUGUGCAAAAGCUAGGAAUUAUAUCAUUGCCUGCAUCUAGUCUUUCUGGUUGGGGUGCACAUUGCUAUAUGUGGAAAACAAAAGGAUAAAGAUGAACUGCUGCUUUCUUUCUUGCAGUAGUGGCCUUGGAGGUGGACUAAGAUCAGAGAGCAUCUUGCGCACUCCAUCUAUCAGAGGAACAAGAAUCUUGCAAGGAUAUUAGGCAUCUAUAACACAUAAUCUUCUUCUGAACUACACCUAUCCAAAAGGUCCAAGCCUUUGCUUGAAUAUUUUCUGAUAUUCAUGCUGAAAGGCUGACUUGCAUGCGCAAGUAUCAGCUCAUGGGUUCUGUGAGUACCUAAGAAUUUAUGCCCGGGGACUGCUGAGGUUUUUACAGUGUGUACAAGUGCCUUUUUUUCCUUCUUGGUCCUUUAGCUCCAACUAGAACUGCUUAUAUUUUUAGUUCUGGAAGUUUCUGAUUCAAUUAUGAUGGUGAUUAUGCAUGCAUUUCUGCCCUGAGGCUUGCAUACUGGGCUCAUAAUAUUUAAUGGGCUUAGACUUUGAAAAGACUGUUUCUUUGGGUCUCACAGCACUGUAGGUAAAAUAAUGUAAAAAGAUACCAUUAUUUCUAUUUCUCUCAGCCCCACAGAUCAGCUGUUUUCAGUUUGAUACAUUUGGAAAAAAUAUAUAUGUUUUUC
ensembl:lncRNA